GUACAGUGGACACAGGUGGUGCAUGGUUGUCGUCAGCUCGUGUCGUGAGAUGUUGGGUUAAGUCCCGCAACGAGCGCAACCCUUGUCUUUAGUUGCCAGCAUUAAGUUGGGCACUCUAGAGAGACUGCCGAUGACAAAUCGGAGGAAGGUGGGGAUGACGUCAAAUCAUCAUGCCCUUUAUGUCCUGGGCUACAAACGUGCUACAAGGGUCGGUAAAACGAGAGGCAAGCUAGCGAUAGCAAGCAAAUCUCCAAAAGCCGAUCCAAGUUCGGAUUCCAGGCUGCAACUCGCCUGAAUGAAGUCGGAUUUGCUAGUAAUCCCGGAUCAGAAUGGCGCGGUGAAUGGGUUUCCGGGUCUUGUACACACGGCCCGUCACACCAUGGGAUUUGUCAAUACCCGAAGGCAGAGA
rnacentral:rRNA from 1 species